CCAUUCUACAGGACAGAGCAGCUAAUUAUUACUCGAUCCAACAACCACACAAAUGUUGUACACAAAAACCCACCCCCCUCCGAGGACACUGUCAAUUAUACCAGCAUAUUUGAUAAGGAGUUUCUACAUAUGGUACUGGACCUUCAGCUGGCCAUUGAGAAUCUGACCGCUGAGUACAAUGGGGAGACAGUCACCCUGGAGGACAUCUGUUUCCAGCCCCUGGCCCCCGACAACACCAAGUGUACCAUCCAGAGCAUCCUCCAGUACUAUCAGAACAACCACACCAACAUCGACAAGGUUGUGAUGGACAGCUACGGAUUCUCCGUCGUAGCCGACUACAUAGAUCAUCUCCGUUACUGUUUGCAGGCACCUGCAUCAACACAGGACACAGUAGGUCUGAACAUGAGCUGUCUGGCAGAGAGUGGUCAGCCAAUAUUUCCCUGGAUCUCACUGGGAGGAUACAAAGGAAAUGACUACAAGUCCUCUGAAGCUUGGUGAUCACUUUUGUCGUGAAUAAUCACUUGGCCGAAGAAAAGAACAAGAAGGCAGAGGCAUGGGAAAAAGUGUUUAUUGAGAAGAUGAGGUCUUUCUCCAGUCCAAAACAUGACUGUGUCCCUUCUCCUCUGAGCGCUCCAUUGAGGACGAGAUUAAAAGGAGAGUGACUCGGACGUUCUGACCAUACUCGCCUCCUACCUCAUCAUGUUUGGUUAUAUCGCACUCACGCUCGGACAGUACGGCGAUUGUGUCGACUGCUCUCUGCCCAAAAUGCUGGUGGAUGCUAAGAUCACCCUAGGUCUGGCCGGUGUGUUGAUCGUACUGCUGUCCGUCUCCUCGUCCCUGGGUCUUUUCAGCUACUGUGGGAUAGCCGCCACUCUCAUCAUCAUUGAGGUCGUACCGUUCCUGGUUCUGGCUGUUGGUGUCGACAACAUCUUUAUAUUGGUGCAAACAUUUCAGAGAGACAAGCAGAGGCCUGGAGAAACUACAGAGGAGCAGAUCGGUAGAAUUCUGGGGCAGGUCGGGCCGAGCAUGAUGCUGUCCAGCUUCUCCGAAUCCAUCGCAUUCUUCUUAGGAGCUUUGACAAAUAUGCCUGCUGUGAGAGUGUUCUCCCUUUACGCUGCAAUGGCCGUACUCUUUGAUUUCCUACUUCAGAUUACAGUUUUCAUUGCACUUAUGACACUUGAUGCCAAGAGGCAAAAGGGUAACAGACUUGACAUGUGUUGCUUCGUCAAAAUGGGGAACCAGAAAUCUGGGGACAAAGACAGUGAGGGAUUCCUGUAUAAGUUGGUCAAGGACUACUACUCUCACCUCCUGCUGAAGGAGUGGGUGCGACCGAUAGUGAUGUCAAUUUUUGUGACCUACUUUUGCAUCAGUGGAGCAGUCAUUCACAAUGUAGGAAUUGGUCUGGAUCAGAAACUUUCCAUGCCUGAUGAUUCCUAUGUUUUGGAUUAUUUCAAAAACCUGAGUGCUUAUCUCCACACUGGAGCCCCCGUUUAUUUUGUGGUUGAACAAGGACAGGAUUACAAGUCAGUGGAAGGCCAGAACUCCAUCUGUGGAGGGAACGGCUGUCCACAGAACUCCCUGGUCGGACAGAUCUACACAGCGUCUCUACAGUCCAAUUACUCUAGGAUAGCCCAGCCUACAUCGUCCUGGCUAGACGACUACCUGAGUUGGCUGUCCCCAGGUGGAGACCCCCCAUGCUGUAGGGAGACCAAAUCCUCCCACCAGUUCUGUCCCUCAACAGACAACUCUUCUGUAUGUAUUGGGUGUCCAAUGGGAAAAUCAAUUCAUGGAAGGCCGAAUGAAAAAGAUUUCAUGAAAUAUCUUCCAUGGUUCUUGAAGGACAACCCUGGGCUCAAAUGUGCUAAAGGAGGACAUGCUGCCUAUGGAAGUGGAGUUAAUCUCAUAAACAACAACACAGAUGUCGGAGCAACCUAUUUCAUGACAUAUCACACCAUUAUGACUGAAAAUGAGGAUUACAUUGAGGGCCUGAAGAUGGCCAGAAAAAUAGGAGACAACAUCACAAACACCCUUAGAACAAUGCUCCAUAAUGACAAUAUCAAAGUGUUCCCAUACAGUGUGUGGUACGUGUUCUAUGAGCAGUACCUGUCCAUUGUGAAAGACACCAUCCAGAACCUGUGUAUCUGCAUUGCCGCCAUCUUCCUGGUGACCUUCCUACUGCUGGGCUUCGACUUCUUUUCGGCCAUCAUGGUCGUCAUCACGAUCGGCAUGAUACUAGUGGACAUCCUGGGUCUCAUGUACUUCUGGGACAUCACCCUCAACGCUGUGUCCCUCGUCAACCUGGUCAUGGCUAUUGGCAUAUCGGUGGAGUUCUGUGCUCACAUCAUUCGAGCGUUUGCAGUCAGUUUACAGCCCACUCGAGUUGAGCGAGCUCGGGAAUCCUUGGCACACAUGGGUAGCUCUGUUCUGAGCGGCAUUACACUGACCAAGCUGGGAGGAAUAAUUGUGCUGGCUUUCUCCAAAUCGCAGCUGUUUCAGGUCUUCUAUUUCCGGAUGUACUUGGCCAUGGUUGUAUAUGGAGCCUCACAUGGAUUAAUUUUCCUGCCAGUUUUACUUAGUUAUAUAGGUCCACCACUUAACAAAGCCAAAUUAUACAAGCACCAAAACAGGGACCAGUCAGAGAGAGACAGUAUAGCUGAACCCAGACAUAACCGCUCAAGUUACGACGCCAUCCCCGGGUGAUGGGGGCAUGGAAGGAAGUCCACAGUGAUAUUGUCAUAGUCAUUCCUGACCCAUCAAGUCAAUCAUCCAUUCAGCAGGAAAACCUCUCACUCAUUGGGUAAAACCCCUCUUUCAUCAGGGAAUCCCUAUCUGUAAGGGAAAUCUUCAUCAAAAGAACCUACCACUGAGAUUGGUGCACAUUACUCUAUUUAGAUAGUGCUUUGUCUUUCAUUCCUCUGUUUUGACCUUUAAUCUCUUGGAAUUCAAAGAAUAUUUGGAUAUUGGAUAUGUUGGAACAAUUGUGUGUUGAAAAACAUUUAAAUUUUUAAGUAAUAAUGAGACAUAUUUUUAAAAUUUAUUUUUGAUGUUUGGGAAAUGUACAUGAAAUGACAAAAAUUCAAUGUUUUUAUUGUCUAAAAUCAAGGAUUUUGUUGUUAUAUUUAGAAAUUUAUGAGAUUGAUUGUGAUGCAAUGCAUUACAAAAUCUAGUUGUACAGGUACGUUUUAUUUUGUUGCUUAUUUGAUUUUGUUUUCAAUGAAAUAUAUUAUGUAAAAUUGAGUAUUUAUUAAAGGUAUGUAUGCUACUAUAUGUAAUUUUGUAUGCUGGACUGUAAUAGUGCCGAAGAAAAGUGCUGAAUAUGAAUAUUAAAAAGUCACGAUG
rnacentral:misc_RNA from 1 species